UACGUAGGCAGCGAGCGUUGUUCGGAGUUACUGGGCGUAAAGAGUGCGUAGGCGGUUUUCUAAGUUUGGUGUGAAAUCUCCCGGCUCAACUGGGAGGGUGCGCCGAAGACUGGAAGGCUUGAGUAUGGGAGAGGUAAGCGGAAUUCCUGGUGUAGCGGUGAAAUGCGUAGAUAUCAGGAGGAACACCUGCGGUGUAGACGGCUUUCUGGACAGUAACUGACGCUGAGGCGCGAAAGCUAGGGGAGCAAACAGG
rnacentral:rRNA from 1 species